rnacentral:lncRNA from 1 species
GACAACGGUAAGACCAAGGUUUGCACCUAUAAAUACAGCUUCAACUCAGUGUUUUCACAACAACAACAUACACUAAUUGAUCAUUACAUUGCUUUAAGCUUUCAUUCAAUUGUUCAUCACUUUCUACUCAUUUCAUAAAGCUUUUGAGAGCCAUUUUAUUGUUCAAAGUUGUUGUGAUCUUGAGCGUAUUACUUUACUCAUAUCUACUCAUCAAGGAGUACAUUUGUUAAGUGAGUGUUCAAGUAUUUCAAAUAC